UACGUAGGUGGCAAGCGUUGUCCGGAAUUAUUGGGCGUAAAGCGCGCGCAGGCGGCUUCCCAAGUCCCUCUUAAAAGUGCGGGGCUUAACCCCGUGAUGGGAAGGAAACUGGGAAGCUGGAGUAUCGGAGAGGAAAGUGGAAUUCCUAGUGUAGCGGUGAAAUGCGUAGAGAUUAGGAAGAACACCGGUGGCGAAGGCGACUUUCUGGACGAAAACUGACGCUGAGGCGCGAAAGCGUGGGGAGCAAACAGGAUUAGAUACCCCAGUAGGCUGACU
rnacentral:rRNA from 1 species